rnacentral:tRNA from 1 species
ACUAUUUUGGCAGAUUAGUGCAAUAAAAUUAGAAUUUAUUAAUGUAAUAUAAUUAUUAUUACAAAUAGU